GACGAACGCUGGCGGCGUGCUUAACACAUGCAAGUCGAACGGAAAGGCCCUGCUUUUGUGGGGUGCUCGAGUGGCGAACGGGUGAGUAACACGUGUGUAACCUGCCCUUGACUUUGGUAUAACUUCAGGAAACUGGGGCUAAUACCGGAUAGGAGCUCCUGCUGCAUGGUGGGGGUUGGAAAGUUUCGGCGGUUGGGUAUGGACUCGCGGCUUAUCAGCUUGAUGGUGGGGUAGUGGCUUACCAAGGCUUUGACGGGUAGCCGGCCUGGGAGGGUGACCGGCAACAUGGGGACGGAGAUACGGCCCAGACUCAAACGGGAGGCAGCAGUGGGGAAUAUUGAACAAGGGGCGGAAGCGUGAUGCAGAAACGCCGGGUGCGGGAUGACGGCCUUGGGGUGGUAAACAGCUUUCGCCUGUGACGAAGCGUGAGUGACGGUAAUGGGAAAAGAAGCACCGGCUAACUACGU
rnacentral:rRNA from 1 species